rnacentral:rRNA from 1 species
UUACCGCGGCUGCUGGCACGGAGUUAGCCGGUGCUUCUUCUGACGUUAACGUCAGGGCAAUCUAGUAUUAAUAGAUUACUUUUCCUCACGUCUGAAAGUGCUUUACAACCCUAAGGCCUUCUUCACACACGCGGCAUUUGCUGCAUCAGGCUUGCGCCCAUUGUGCAAUAUUCCCCACUGCUGCCUCCCGUAGGAAGCCGAAUUCCAGCACACUGGCGGCCGUUACUAGUGGAUCCGAGCUCGGUACCAAGCUUGGCGUAAUCAUGGUCAUAGCUGUUUCCUGUGA